rnacentral:rRNA from 1 species
UGGGGAAUAUUGGACAAUGGGCGCAAGCCUGAUCCAGCAAUGCCGCGUGUGUGAAGAAGGCCUUCGGGUUGUAAAGCACUUUUAUCAGGAGCGAAACGCUGUCGGCUAAUACCCGGCGGAACUGACGGUACCUGAGGAAUAGGCACCGGCUAACUUCGUGCCAGCAGCCGCGGUAAUACGAAGGGUGCAAGCGUUAAUCGGAAUUACUGGGCGUAAAGCGUGCGUAGGCGGUUUCUUAAGUCUGCUGUGAAAUCCCCGGGCUCAACCUGGGAAUGGCAGUGGAUACUGGGAGGCUAGAGUGUGUCAGAGGGUGGUGGAAUUCCCGGUGUAGCGGUGAAAUGCGUAGAGAUCGGGAGGAACAUCAGUGGCGAAGGCGGCCACCUGGGACAACACUGACGCUGAGGCACGAAAGCGUGGGGAGCAAACAGGAUUAGAUACCCUGGUAGUCCACGCCCUAAACGAUGCGAACUGGAUGUUGUCUCAACUCGGAGAUCAGUGUCGAAGCUAACGCGUUAAGUUCGCCGCCUGGGGAGUACGGUCGCAAGACU